rnacentral:ncRNA from 2 species
AAGGCAGCAGGCGCGCAAAUU